CGCCGCAAGAACAAUAGAGCACACUCAAAAACGAACACCCCGCGCAUAACGCAGCUCCCCUCAGAUUAUUCAACAGAUCCAUCUCUGCCGUGCCUUGCAGAUCAUUCAUUUACGUAACAUACUAUGGCCGCUAGCUGCGAAACCGCGACCUGUUGCGCCAGCGCAGCGGUAAAUGAUGGGGAAAAUGCAAGUGGUGGGGCAAGCAUUUAGAGGACAGCAUCUAUGAAAUCGCAGAUGACAUACUACUGUCUCCAGACUUGAAAUGCAAACCCCUUUCUGUAUGCCUGACGCAAGCUAUGAUUCAUCAGCGAGGGCAUUUUAUCGUAGGAAAGACUGAGCGACAGAGACAGAGACAAAGAAUGCAUCCUAUAUACAUGUCUAAAU
rnacentral:sRNA from 1 species